UACAGAGGGUGCAAACGUUUGUUCGGAAUUACUGGGCGUAAAGCGCGUGCAGGCGGCCUUGCAAGUCGGACGUGAAAUCCCACGGCUCAACCGUGGAAGUGCAUUCGAAACUGCGAGGCUGGAGUCCUGGAGAGGAAAGUGGAAUACUCGGUGUAGAGGUGAAAUUCGUAGAUAUCGAGUGGAACACCGGUGGCGAAAGGCGGCUUUCUGGACAGGUACUGACGCUGAGACGCGAAAGCGUGGGGAGCAAACAGG
rnacentral:rRNA from 1 species